CUUUAAGACGUGACCGAACGUAUCCUUGAGCAGGCUUGCCUGACCAGCUUGGACAACCUGAUAACCCUUUUAAUUUUAAAUCAGCGUCUGAAAAAUUUAAUAAUUACAACUUUCAACAACGGAUCUCUUGGUUCUGGCAUCGAUGAAGAACGCAGCGAAAUGCGAUAAGUAGUGUGAAUUGCAGAAUUCAGUGAAUCAUCGAAUCUUUGAACGCACAUUGCGCCCCUUGGUAUUCCAUGGGGCAUGCCUGUUCGAGCGUCAUUUGUACCCUCAAGCUCUGCUUGGUGUGGGUGUUUGUCCUAUUCUUUGCAAUAGGACUCGCCUUAAAACAAUUGGCAGCCAGUGUUUUGGCAUUGAAAGCGCAGCACAUUUUGCAAUUCAAGCCCUAGCACUUGCGUCCAUAAAGCGUAUUUUAACACUUUUGACCUCGGAUACAGUAGGGAUACCCGCUGAACUUUAAGGC
rnacentral:rRNA from 1 species